AUAAGGUUUUGAACAUGUUGGAUGAGUUGCUGUUUCCUGAUAGUUCUUUGAGAAUGAAGUGUAUCAAAGAGUGGGAGGUAAAACCCCUAAACAUUCUCACGAGAGGCUUCCAAUUCCAUCUGAACUUUGUAAACCAAAGAUCUUGCAACAUAUAAAAUGUUGUCAAUUUUCUAAAUUGUUUCUCUCUCUCUCUCUCUCAUACACACACACACGCUCACACACACACAUACACACACUCACACACAUGGCAACAAUGACUGCAUCUCUUUUCAUCUCCUAUGUUACCAUUUUAUCUAUCAUGGGGGGUUUUCAUUGGCCUGAAGAAAGUAAUAUACUGAUAAUUAAGUGUUCUCAA